UAGGGAAUAUUGCACAAUGGGCGCAAGCCUGAUCCAGCCAUACCGCGUGGGUGAAGAAGGCCUUCGGGUUGUAAAGCCCUUUUGUUGGGAAAGAAAAGCAUUCGGUUAAUACCCGAGUGUUCUGACGGUACCCGCAGAAUAAGCUCCGGCUAACUUCGUGCCAGCAGCCGCGGUAAUACGAAGGGAGCUAGCGUUGUUCGGAAUCACUGGGCGUAAAGCGCACGUAGGCGGAUGUGUCAGUCAGGGGUGAAAUCCCGGAGCUCAACUUCGGAACUGCCUUUGAUACAGCACGUCUUGAGUCCGGAAGAGGUGGGCGGAAUUCCCGGUGUAGCGGUGAAAUGCGUAGAGAUCGGGAGGAACACCAGUGGCGAAGGCGGCUCUCUGGUCCGCAACUGACGCUGAGGCGCGAAAGCGUGGGGAGCGAACAGGAUUAGAUACC
rnacentral:rRNA from 1 species